UCCCUGGUAGUAUAUCGGUUUAGUACACGCGCCUGUCAUGCCGUAUGCGAUGAUGUUGUCAUCAGACAAUUGAUCGCGCGAAAGCUGGGUUCGACUCCCAGCCAGGGAG